GAUUAUGGCUCAGAACGAACGCUGGUGGCGUGUCUAUACAUGCAAGUCGAGCGAGGCAGCAAUGCCGAGCGGCGAACGGGUGAGUAACGCGUAAGCAAUCUGCCCCAUAUCAGGAAAUACCCGUGCCAACGCGCGGUUAAUGUCCAGGAGAGUGGCCCUCUGCAUGGAGGGUUGACUAGAGAUUUAUCGGUAUGGGAUGAGCUUGCGUCCGAUUAGCUAGUUGGCGGGGCAACGGCCCACCAAGGCGACGAUCGGUAUCCGGCCUGAGAGGGUGAUCGGCCACAUUGGGACUGAGAUACGGCCCAGACUCCUACGGGAGGCAGCAGUAGGGAAUAUUGCACAAUGGGGGAAACCCUGAUGCAGCAACGCCACGUGUGGGAAGAAGCAUUUCGGUGUGUAAACCACUGUCAUGAGGGAAUAAGGCCCUUAUUCGUAAGGGAUUGAAUGUACCUUGAGAGGAAGCACCGGCAAACUUCGUGCCAGCAGCAGC
rnacentral:rRNA from 1 species